rnacentral:lncRNA from 1 species
UUUCAUUUCUCUCUCCUUUCCCCGAUAAGGGGAAACUAGAUAAUAGUUAUGGAAGGACCCCUAUCAGUUCCAAAGCCCUUCUCCAGUUCUCUCCCCACUCAGACAGGUGAUGCCUCACUGUGCUCUGAGGGCUUUAGUGCUUAGUCGGGCGGGGUCUUUCCACUUCGCAGCACACCCCCUGGGGGGCUUGGUGGCAGUAUUCAACUGCAGACACAACCAAUGGUAAUGCCAGCACUAGUCUCCUGGAGUUCAACGCAAAGCAGUUCUGAACUCAGAAAUGCUUCUAUAUAUGAGACACACAGGAAGUGAGAAAGAUCCACAAGUUCCAAAAAUCAAUAGGGGAGAUAAAACAAAUCCUAAUGGUAAAAGAGAUACAGAAACAGACUGAGACCAUGUUAACACACUUCUAUGAUUUUACUAUCAAUCUUCCAUUAUCAAUAUGGCCCAGUCCCUUUCCUAACUACCUCAAUGUAAAAUUCCAGUGGGUGAACUGAAACUCUUAGUACAAAUUUCAGAAUCAUAUUGACCUGAAAGCCUUUCUGGCCUCAUGCUGUCACACUGAC